rnacentral:lncRNA from 1 species
GCCGAGCCCAGGCCUGCACCCUAGGCAGGCACUGCUCCGUGAUCCAGGAACCACCUCUCUCUACAGCUGGGAGUGAGCAGUCAGAGAGGGAGACAGCCUUGCCCGGUGCUACCCAGCAAGCUAGUCACCGAGUGGGCAGAGGGAGGAGCGGCCCUCACCGGAUGUCAAGCAGCCUGGGUCCCCAGUCCAGCUCUGCCUGUCCCUCGCAAUAACGCCUCAGAUGGGGAAACUGAAGCCCAAUGUCACGGAGGUAGGAAGGGGCAGACGUAGACUUGGAAGGAUUCUGUGGCCUGUUCGAGGUUCCGUGCAUGAGCCGUGCUCCGUGGAGAGCCAGGUCUACCGUUCCAGCCUUUGCUCUCCCAGGCCCCUGGCUGUCCAUGUCCCACACCACCCUGACACCUGAUACUUGACACCCGUGUCACCAACAGCUACAGUGCACCACGGCCUUGGAACACCGCACUCAGUGCUCUGCCUGGAUGAGCCCUGUACCCCCAUGACGACCCCACUGUGGACAUUCUUAUGUCCAUUUUACAGAUGACGAAACUGAGACGGGCGGAUGCAGUGUUGUGCACAAGCCACACAGCUGGAAACGUGGGCUGGGGACUGGAACCCAAUUACCCGCUUUGGCUCUAUAAUCCUCUUUUUAUUUUUAUUUAAUUUUUUUAUGAGAUGGAGUGUAGCUCUGUCGCACAGGCUGGAGUGCAGUGACACGAUCUCAGCUCACUGUAACCUCUGCCUCUCGGGUUCAACCCAUUCUUGUGUCUCAGCCUCCCAAGAAGCUGGGAUUACAGUUGUGUGUCACCACGCCUGGCUAAUUUUUUGUAUUUUUAGUAGAGAUGGGGUUUCCCCAUGUUGGUCAGGCUGGUCUCGGACUCCUGACCUCAGGUGAUCUGCCCACCUCUACCUCCCAAAGUGCUGGGAUUACAGGCAUGAGCCACCGUGCCCGGCCCUUUAAUCCUCUUUUUAAAACACCUUAGGAUAUGAUAUAUCCAGAAUAGGCAAAUCCAUAGACACAGAAUGCAGAUCCGUGUGCCAGUGGCUAGGGGGUGAAGAGGAACUGCUGAAUGAGCGGGCGUUUCCUCCUGGGGUGACCAGCAUGUUCUGCGACUGCAGAUGAUGGCUGUGCCACCUUGUGAGGGUACUAAAUGCCGCCGAAUGGUACACCUUAAACUGGUUGAUUUUAUGUUAUAUGAACUUCCCUUCCAUACAUUAUUUGAGGCUGGGCACGGUGGCUCACACCUGUUAUCCCAACACUUUUGGAGGCCGAGAUGGGUGGAUCAUCUGAGGUCAGGAGUUUGAGACCAGCCUGACCAAAAUGGUGAAACCCCGUCUCUACUAAAAAUACAAAAAAAUUAGCUGGGUGUGGUGGCGCAUGCCUGUAAUCCCAGCUACUCAGGAGGCUGAGGCAGGAUAAUCGCUUGAAUCCGGGAGGCAGAGAUUGCAGUGGGCCUAGAUCGUGCCAUUGUACUCCUGCCUAGGUGACAGAGCAAGACUCCGCCUCAAAAAUAAAAAAUAAAAAAUAAAUUAUUUGGAA